AAAACUAGCCGGACAAACGUAAGUUGCAAGUGCCGGAAGUCAAGUCUUACACACA
rfam:Cereal yellow dwarf virus-RPV, complete genome